CCUACGGGCGGCUGCAGUGGGGAAUAUUGGACAAUGGGCGAAAGCCUGAUCCAGCCAUGCCGCGUGUGUGAAGAAGGCCUUCGGGUUGUAAAGCACUUUCAGUGGGGAAGAAAGCCUUGGGGCUAAUACCCUCGAGGAAGGACAUCACCCACAGAAGAAGCACCGGCUAACUCCGUGCCAGUAGCCGCGGUAAUACGGAGGGUGCGAGCGUUAAUCGGAAUUACUGGGCGUAAAGCGCGCGUAGGCGGUCUGAUAAGCCGGUUGUGAAAGCCCCGGGCUCAACCUGGGAACGGCAUCCGGAACUGUCAGGCUAGAGUGCAGGAGAGGAAGGUAGAAUUCCCGGUGUAGCGGUGAAAUGCGUAGAGAUCGGGAGGAAUACCAGUGGCGAAGGCGGCCUUCUGGACUGACACUGACGCUGAGGUGCGAAAGCGUGGGUAGCAAACAGGAUUAGAUACCCCUGUAGUC
rnacentral:rRNA from 1 species